CCCUUAGAUGUUCUGGGCUGCACGCGCGCUACACUGAUGCACUCAACGAGUUUACGACCUUGCCCGAUAGGGUUGGGUAAUCUUUUUAAAAUGCAUCGUGAUGGGGAUAGAUUAUUGCAAUUAUUAAUCUUCAACGAGGAAUUCCUAGUAAGCGCGAGUCAUCGGCUCGUGCUGAUUACGUCCCUGCCCUUUGUACACACCGCCCGUCGCUCCUACCGAUUGAGUGCUCAGGUGAAUAAUUCGGACUGCAGCAAUGUUUGGAUCCCGAACGUUGCAGCGGAAAGUUUAGUGAACCUUAUCACUUAGAGGAAGGAGAAGUCGUAACA
rnacentral:rRNA from 1 species